rnacentral:rRNA from 1 species
UACAGAGGGGGCGAGCGUUGUUCGGAAUUACUGGGCGUAAAGGGCGCGUAGGCGGCCAACUAAGUCAGACGUGAAAUCCCUCGGCUCAACCGGGGAACUGCGUCUGAUACUGGAUGGCUUGAAUUCGGGAGAGGGAUGCGGAAUUCCAGGUGUAGCAGUGAAAUGCGUAGAGAUCUGGAGGAACACCGAUGGCGAAGGCAGCCCCCUGGGCUAACACUGACGCUCAUGCACGAAAGCGUGGGGAGCAAACAGG